rnacentral:rRNA from 1 species
CCUACGGGGGGCAGCAGUGGGGAAUAUUGGACAAUGGGGGGAACCCUGAUCCAGCCAUGCCGCGUGUGUGAAGAAGGCCCUCGGGUUGUAAAGCACUUUCAGUGAGGAAGAACGCCUGGUGGUUAAUACCCAUCAGGAAAGACAUCACUCACAGAAGAAGCACCGGCUAACUCCGUGCCAGCAGCCGCGGUAAUACGGAGGGUGCGAGCGUUAAUCGGAAUUACUGGGCGUAAAGCGCGCGUAGGUGGCUUGAUAAGCCGGUUGUGAAAGCCCCGGGCUCAACCUGGGAACGGCAUCCGGAACUGUUAAGCUAGAGUGCAGGAGAGGAAGGUAGAAUUCCCGGUGUAGCGGUGAAAUGCGUAGAGAUCGGGAGGAAUACCAGUGGCGAAGGCGGCCUUCUGGACUGACACUGACACUGAGGUGCGAAAGCGUGGGUAGCAAACAGGAUUAGAUACCCUAGUAGUC